CUGACAUUUUUUUUUUGGGCUUGCAGGUUGUUUUGGGAGAGAGAGAGUCUAUGAUUCGACAUUGCUCCCCCGAUUCCGAGUUUUCACUCCCCCACUACAGUUUGAAUAUAUAUAUUCUACUUUUACUUGUCCUUGUGUUGUUGUAGAUUCCUGGUGGAUGAUGAUGCUUUGAUCAUUAUCGCUGAUUUGCUUCUUCUUUUUUUCUGUAUGUCUCUUAGGUCUGGUAAGUCUCGGCUCCUCUGAUGUUUAUUCAGGACAACAAUUGGCUUUUGUGUUCAUUCUGUGUGCUCGCGGCUGGUGCAGAGGACAACAGUUGGCUCAUGUGUUCAAUCCGUCUGGUCGCUGCU